GCAGAUAUGCUGGAAUUGGGAGACAGACUUCGUUUAGGCCGAAGGGAUUUAAUUAUCGUGCAAGUUCAAGUCUUGCUAUCUGUA
rnacentral:tRNA from 1 species